CCCAACCUCUCUCUGACUCAUGCACUCUCGCUUCGGGCUCUCUCACCAUGUGAUGCCUUCUGUCAUGGUAUGAUGCAGCUAGAAGGCCCUCACCAGAUGCAGCCCCUUAAUCCUGGACUUCCUGGCCUCCAGAACUGUGAGCCAAAUAUUAUAUUUGUGGAUUUUCAUAGUUCUUGACUUCUUAUACAAUCGGAGAAUUAGUGGAGGCUGGUUAUAAGUAGUAAGCAUGACUCAAGUUUAAGUGUGUGUCAAACUGGAGAUGGAGGAAUAAGAAACACUUGGCAACUUCAAAGCUCUCACUUUCUUCUGGAGGAAGAGACAGAUAAGUUCUUGGCCGCAGAAGCGAGAUGAUGAAGGGAACGUCAUCAUUUGGAAAGCAUUGCAAUAAGACGUACACGUUAUGCCACCACUGUGGCUCUAAGGCCUACCACCUUCAGAAGUCGACCUAUGGCAAAUGUGGCUACACUGCCAAGCGCAAGAGAAAGUAUAACUGGAGUACCAAGGCUAAAAGACGAAAUACCACCAGAACUGGUCAAAUGAGGCACCUAAAAAUUGUAUACCAUAGAUUCAGGCAUGGAUUCCGUGAAGGAACAACACCUAAACCCAAGAGGGCAGCUGUUGCAGCAUCCAGUUCAUCUUAAUGUCAACGAUUAGUCAUGCAAUAAAUGUUCUGGUUUUAAAAAAUACAAAAUAAAUAAAUAAAUAAAUAAAAAAUAAAUUAAAA
rnacentral:lncRNA from 1 species